ensembl:lncRNA
AGAAUAAGGGGGAAAUAAAUGACAGGCUGCCACUCAGCCUGCAAAAUCCCCCCUCACUGCAGCAAGCAUCUCCCAGAACCCAUUAAAAACAAGCUGUAAGUCAUGGCUGCAGUGGGAAGAUCUUCCUAGGGUGAUCAGACAGUGGGCUAUCCAAGUGAUAAAGGCUGCAGGGUUUUGCAGCAAAUCAACCGAACCUUGUGUCAGUGAGAUCAAAAUAGAACCAACAGGAACUUUAAUCUGUCUCUGCUACAGAGAGAUGAAAUCAGUGCAGGCUCCAUAAAAUAAGAGUAAUGGAAACUGUUCAAGGUUAUGAGUAUCUGCAACAACAAAGUGUCUCCCAUUAAGUGAUGCACUGAAGCUGUGCAGAUGAAGUUAUAUGCUCUGGUACCACAACGAGGUACAA